UACGGAGGGGGCUAGCGUUGUUCGGAAUUACUGGGCGUAAAGCGCACGUAGGCGGCUUUGUAAGUUAGAGGUGAAAGCCCGGGCUCAACUCCGGAAUUGCCUUUAAGACUGCAUCGCUAGAAUUGUGGAGAGGUAAGUGGAAUUCCGAGUGUAGAGGUGAAAUUCGUAGAUAUUCGGAAGAACACCAGUGGCGAAGGCGACUUACUGGACACAUAUUGACGCUGAGGUGCGAAAGCGUGGGAGCAAACAGG
rnacentral:rRNA from 1 species